rnacentral:rRNA from 1 species
AUUGAACGCUGGCGGCAUGCCUUACACAUGCAAGUCGAACGGUAACAGGUCUUCGGAUGCUGACGAGUGGCGAACGGGUGAGUAAUACAUCGGAACGUGCCCGAGAGUGGGGGAUAACGAAGCGAAAGCUUUGCUAAUGCCGCAUACGAUCUCAGGAUGAAAGCAGGGGACCGCAAGGCCUUGCGCUCACGGAGCGGCCGAUGGCAGAUUAGGUAGUUGGUGGGAUAAAAGCUUACCAAGCCGACGAUCUGUAGCUGGUCUGAGAGGACGACCAGCCACACUGGGACUGAGACACGGCCCAGACUCCUACGGGAGGCAGCAGUGGGGAAUUUUGGACAAUGGGCGCAAGCCUGAUCCAGCCAUGCCGCGUGCAGGAUGAAGGCCUUCGGGUUGUAAACUGCUUUUGUACGGAACGAAAAGACUCUGGUUAAUACCUGGGGUCCAUGACGGUACCGUAAGAAUAAGCACCGGCUAACUACGUGCCAGCCGCCGCAGUAA